ACAGAUUUUAUAUUUUACGUUCUGCACUAAUAGAUGUCUGUUUUCAGAUUUUCAAAGUUCUGUGCCAUCUUUUGCUUAUCGACAAAUUUUCUUGUGUACUAAGUAAUGACGGUAAAAGGCUAGACCGGAGGACCAGGUAACGGCAACAAGGAUCAGUAGCGCGAAGGAUAUUAAUGCCAAUGGACUCGGCACGAGGAUCGAGUAACCGAUGCCACCGAGAUUAGAAAACACGUCCCAGCAUGCACUUCCAUUCUUCUCUUCGUGUGUUUGUGAACUCGACCUUGUUGUGAAUAUUCCUUCUGAAGUACAGCUGAUACCUACUGGAUGCACCACGUGUCACAUUGGUCCUUUGGUCACAACACAAGGAUGCAAAUAAACAUCAAUUUCUAGCGCAUCGAAUAAGGAAAUUAAUAAAACAAGGGCGAAGAGAGCCGACCGCUUCGCUCGGUGCAGAAGGUCAGUUUCUUGCAGGGUGUCGGAGGACGGCAACGCGAAGUCGGUG